rnacentral:rRNA from 1 species
AUACAGAGGGGGCAAGCGUUGUUCGGAAUUACUGGGCGUAAAGGGCGCGUAGGUGGCCUUCUUAGUCGAACGUGAAAUCCCCGGGCUCAACCCGGGAACUGCGUCCGAUACUGGAAGGCUUGAAUCCGGGAGAGGGAUGCGGAAUUCCAGGUGUAGCGGUGAAAUGCGUAGAUAUCUGGAGGAACACCGGUGGCGAAGGCGGCAUCCUGGACCGGCAUUGACGCUGAGGCGCGAAAGCCAGGGGAGCAAACGGGA